UACGUAGGGGGCAAGCGUUGUCCGGAAUCAUUGGGCGUAAAGAGCGUGUAGGCGGUCCGGUAAGUCGGCUGUGAAAGUCCAGGGCUCAACCCUGGGAUGCCGGUCGAUACUGCCGGACUAGAGUUCGGAAGAGGCGAGUGGAAUUCCCGGUGUAGCGGUGAAAUGCGCAGAUAUCGGGAGGAACACCUAUGGCGAAGGCAGCUCGCUGGGACGUUACUGACGCUGAGGCACGAAGGUCAGGGGAGCAAACGGGG
rnacentral:rRNA from 1 species